rnacentral:rRNA from 2 species
GCUGAAGAGAGGAGCUUGCUCUUCUUGGAUGAGUUGCGAACGGGUGAGUAACGCGUAGGUAACCUGCCUUGUAGCGGGGGAUAACUAUUGGAAACGAUAGCUAAUACCGCAUAACAAUGGAUGACACAUGUCAUUUAUUUGAAAGGGGCAAUUGCUCCACUACAAGAUGGACCUGCGUUGUAUUAGCUAGUAGGUGAGGUAACGGCUCACCUAGGCGACGAUACAUAGCCGACCUGAGAGGGUGAUCGGCCACACUGGGACUGAGACACGGCCCAGACUCCUACGGGAGGCAGCAGUAGGGAAUCUUCGGCAAUGGGGGCAACCCUGACCGAGCAACGCCGCGUGAGUGAAGAAGGUUUUCGGAUCGUAAAGCUCUGUUGUAAGUCAAGAACGAGUGUGAGAGUGGAAAGUUCACACUGUGACGGUAGCUUACCAGAAAGGGACGGCUAACUACGUGCCAGCAGCCGCGGUAAUACGUAGGUCCCGAGCGUUGUCCGGAUUUAUUGGGCGUAAAGCGAGCGCAGGCGGUUUGAUAAGUCUGAAGUUAAAGGCUGUGGCUCAACCAUAGUUCGCUUUGGAAACUGUCAAACUUGAGUGCAGAAGGGGAGAGUGGAAUUCCAUGUGUAGCGGUGAAAUGCGUAGAUAUAUGGAGGAACACCGGUGGCGAAAGCGGCUCUCUGGUCUGUAACUGACGCUGAGGCUCGAAAGCGUGGGGAGCGAACAGGAUUAGAUACCCUGGUAGUCCACGCCGUAAACGAUGAGUGCUAGGUGUUGGAUCCUUUCCGGGAUUCAGUGCCGCAGCUAACGCAUUAAGCACUCCGCCUGGGGAGUACGACCGCAAGGUUGAAACUCAAAGGAAUUGACGGGGGCCCGCACAAGCGGUGGAGCAUGUGGUUUAAUUCGAAGCAACGCGAAGAACCUUACCAGGUCUUGACAUCCCGAUGCUAUUUCUAGAGAUAGAAAGUUACUUCGGUACAUCGGUGACAGGUGGUGCAUGGUUGUCGUCAGCUCGUGUCGUGAGAUGUUGGGUUAAGUCCCGCAACGAGCGCAACCCCUAUUGUUAGUUGCCAUCAUUCAGUUGGGCACUCUAGCGAGACUGCCGGUAAUAAACCGGAGGAAGGUGGGGAUGACGUCAAAUCAUCAUGCCCCUUAUGACCUGGGCUACACACGUGCUACAAUGGUUGGUACAACGAGUUGCGAGUCGGUGACGGCAAGCUAAUCUCUUAAAGCCAAUCUCAGUUCGGAUUGUAGGCUGCAACUCGCCUACAUGAAGUCGGAAUCGCUAGUAAUCGCGGAUCAGCACGCCGCGGUGAAUACGUUCCCGGGCCUUGUACACACCGCCCGUCACACCACGAGAGUUUGUAACACCCGAAGUCGGUGAGGUAACCU